CCUGCCCAGCAGAAGGACCGGCGAAC
rnacentral:rRNA from 8 species